CAAUUAUAAGGUCGAUAGCUGGCCAAUAGGGGUUAUUUCAGCUUGGUUUACUGAUUUGUUAGUGGAAUUAUUAUUAUUUUAUUAAAAAAAGAAAGAAAGAAGAGAAAAAAAAAAUGAUCCAAUUUUGCUCUUCCUCCCUUGCUAGCUUUGAACCCAGCCCAACCAACAAAAUCUGGGACUUUUGGUGUGAUUUUGAGGAAGUGUUAACUGAAAUCAAGUGGAGUAAAUCAAAGGGGCAGAUUGGUCAUUUUGACUCUUUGAAUUAUCUUCAACAAAAAGGGAUUUUUAGCAUGGUGCAAGCUUGGAUUUUGGUGUUAAUUGUGCUAGAGAUUGGAAGGAUUUGAGGAUUACCGACACUUGGUCAAGAGCAUCCGGGGAUUUGGAAUCUCUACAUUUGCGGGACAUUAGGAAAGGAUAAAUCUGUCUCUGAUCAGCCAUGAGUGCGAGAGUUGGGCGAUGUAUGUACAUGUUUGGGCCACACUAGACCAAGCGGGUUGGGGUCUACCAGUGAUGUGCUUUUUUAACUAUAAUUUUGCCACUUAGGUCGGCUAGUGGAAAAGCCUUGUAAUAUUUUGUAAAAUAUAUUUGGGAUCCCGAAACAUGUAAUUUUUGAUUGUAAAGUUAAAGUUAUUACAAGUUUUGUUUUCACUCUGGUUUUGUUUAAAGUUUAAAUUUUCCUGUGCU